CCUACGGGAGGCUGUAGUGGGGAAUAUUGCGCAAUGGGCGAAAGCCUGACGCAGCGACGCCGCGUGAGGGAUGAAGGUCUUCGGAUCGUAAACCUCUGUCAGCAGGGAAGAACGGUCACUGUGCUAAUCAGCAGUGAAUUGACGGUACCUGCAAAGGAAGCACCGGCUAACUCCGUGCCAGCAGCAGCGGUAAUACGGAGGGUGCGAGCGUUAAUCGGAAUUACUGGGCGUAAAGCGCUCGUAGGCGGUAUGUCAAGUCAAGGGUGAAAUCCCCGCGCUCAACGUGGGAACUGCCUUUGAAACUGGAAAACUGGAGUGUGUGAGAGGAUAGUGGAAUUCCAGGUGUAGGAGUGAAAUGCGUAGAUAUCUGGAGGAACAGCAGUGGCGAAGGCGACUAUCUGGCACAUAACUGACGCUGAGGAGCGAAAGCGUGGGUAGCAAACAGGAUUAGAUACCCUUGUAGUC
rnacentral:rRNA from 1 species